AACCCAUGGUGAGGGAAACUUCUUAUCCUUGUAUCUCUCCCAUGCAUCAUAAAGAGUUUCUAGAUCCAUCCGCACAAAAGAAGAGAUAUCAUUCCUCAAUUU
rfam:Gossypium arboreum cultivar AKA8401 contig_69587_1, whole genome shotgun sequence.